UAGUUAAUUAUACUUUGUGAUAGUAAACAAUGAAUAUGGUGAGCAAACAGAGGAGGAACUGCUCCCGAGGGGAAGGAAUCUGCGUGUUACUAAUGACAAUGUCAUUACUUUUAUUCAUCUUGUAGCAAAUCAUCGCUUGAAUUUUCAGAUACGUCAACAAAGUUCGCAUUUCUUGAGGGGAUUUCAACAACUUAUUCAGAAGGAUUGGAUUGACAUGUUUAAUGAACAUGAACUUCAGCUUUUGAUAUCAGGUUCACUGGAGAGCUUGGAUGUUGAUGAUCUGCGGCAGCAUACCAACUAUGCAGGAGGCUAUCACAGUGUAAGCUCUUUGGCGCCUAUGUGGUUUUAUUCAGUAAAUCCUUAGCAGAAACACUCAAAUGAUAUUAUAGUCAUGCUAAAAAAUUAGUUUGAGACUUUUUUUUUUGAAGUCUUUCUGGCUUCUUAUCAUUAGAUAUACAUAAGAACUAGGGUCAAAUCCAUGAUAUUAAUCAAUAGUGGGGAAAAAGAAAGACUGAAAGAAGGUAUCGG